GAUGAAGAACGUAGCGAAAUGCGAUACGUAAUGUGAAUUGCAGAAUUCAGUGAAUCAUCGAAUCUUUGAACGCAUAUUGCGCUCUCUGGUAUUCCGGAGAGCAUGCUUGUUUGAGUAUCAGUAAACACCUCAACUUCCAUAUCUUUUUUGAAAUGGGAGUUGGACUUGAGUGAUCCCAACGCUUUUCCUCACCGAAAAGUGGCGGGUUACUUGAAAUGCAGGUGCAGCUGGACUUUUCUCUGAGCUAUAAGCAUAUCUAUUUAGUCUGCCUAAAAAACAGAUUAUUACCUUUGCUGCAGCUAACAUAAAGGAGAUUAGUUCUUGUGCAGACUGAUGCAGGAUUCACAAAGACAGGCUUCGGCCGACUUUGUAAACUCGAUCUCAAAUCAAGUAAGACUACCCGCUGAACUUAAGCAUAUCAAUAAGCGGAGGA
rnacentral:misc_RNA from 1 species